GCGGCAGUGGCGGAAUCGGUAGACGCGCAACGUUGAGGGCGUUGUGGGGGAAACCCCGUGGAGGUUCAAGUCCUCUCUGCCGCACCA
rnacentral:tRNA from 1 species